GUCAGGGUGGCCGAGUGGUCUAAGGUGCCAGACUCAAGGUUCAGUACCUUCCAUACCAGUGAGUCUUCUGGUCUCUGAACAGAGGCGUGGGUUCAAAUCCCACUCCUGGCA
rnacentral:tRNA from 1 species